AAACUGCAACCCAAUGCAGGCAGAGCUGCAAACGGCCAGAUAUUUCAACAAUGAAGAUUUAGACAAUCUCACUCAGCAAAGAAAACUUGACUAGCUAAGUUACUUUCCGAAGGCAAAGAGAGUAAGGAAUGAGGACUGGAAGAAGAAUAUCAUCAAUACCAAAUAUGACCACGUGGUCAAUGGCAGCAGUGACGACUAUUUAAGGCUACUUCCACAUCCAUUGUUCGUGAUUCCAGCUCAAUAUGCUGCUAAUUUAUGAAGCCCAUUUGGACCACAGCAACCUCUGUGCUAGGGAAUACUACUAUGUUCCAGGAUCUGUCCUAGAUAACAGGAGAACAAAAUGGGGACAACACAUGGUGCCAGCCUUCCAGGAGCACAUUAUAUAAAUGGAAGGGAAACAUGUAGGGUUCUGAU